rnacentral:rRNA from 1 species
CCUACGGGGCUGCAGUGGGGAAUAUUGCACAAUGGGCGCAAGCCUGAUGCAGCCAUGCCGCGUGUGUGAAGAAGGCCUUCGGGUUGUAAAGCACUUUCAGCGGGGAGGAAGGCGUUAAGGUUAAUAACCUUGGCGAUUGACGUUACCCGCAGAAGAAGCACCGGCUAACUCCGUGCCAGCAGCCGCGGUAAUACGGAGGGUGCAAGCGUUAAUCGGAAUUACUGGGCGUAAAGCGCACGCAGGCGGUCUGUCAAGGCGGAUGUGAAAUCCCCGGGCUCAACCUGGGAACUGCAUUCGAAACUGGCAGGCUAGAGUCUUGUAGAGGGGGGUAGAAUUCCAGGUGUAGCGGUGAAAUGCGUAGAGAUCUGGAGGAAUACCGGUGGCGAAGGCGGCCCCCUGGACAAAGACUGACGCUCAGGUGCGAAAGCGUGGGGAGCAAACAGGAUUAGAUACCCGAGUAGUC